CUCAGAAAGCGCAGGACCAUAGCCCAACACCUCCCCAAGAACAGUUUUCAACGUAGCUUGUUUGACACGAUUCCCUUCAUUGGUAUUUUUACUAGGCACUGAAGAUUUCCCACCCUUAUUUUUCCCCUGUUUUUCUUUCAUAGGUUUAUCAGACACAUUACUGUCACCACCAUCAGCAUCAACUUUCAUAGGUUUAUCAGACACAUUACUGUCACCACCAUCAGCAUCAACUUUCACAGGGUUACUAUUUUCCAGUUCCUUAAGAGAUGUUAGAGCCUUCUGCAACUUCUCAGCUGUCGAUCGCUCAAAAACUCGGCAAAUUUCAGUAG
rnacentral:lncRNA from 1 species